rnacentral:rRNA from 1 species
UUUGUCCUACGGGGGGCAGCAGUGGGGAAUAUUGCACAAUGGGCGAAAGCCUGAUGCAGCAACGCCGCGUGAGCGAUGAAGGCCUUCGGGUCGUAAAGCUCUGUCCUCAAGGAAGAUAAUGACGGUACUUGAGGAGGAAGCCCCGGCUAACUACGUGCCAGCAGCCGCGGUAAUACGUAGGGGGCUAGCGUUAUCCGGAAUUACUGGGCGUAAAGGGAGCGUAGGUGGUUGCUUAAGUCAGAGGUGAAAGGCUACGGCUCAACCGUAGGAAGCCUUUGAAACUGGGAAACUUGAGAGCAGGAGAG